UACGAGAGGCCCAAACGUUAUUCGGAAUUACUGGGCUUAAAGAGUUCGUAGGCGGCGCAACAAGUGGGGUGUGAAAUCCCCGGGCUCAACCCGGGAACUGCGUCCGAUACUGACAGGCUUGAAUCCGGGAGAGGGAUGCGGAAUUCCAGGUGUAGCGGUGAAAUGCGUAGAUAUCUGGAGGAACACCGGUGGCGAAGGCGGCAUCCUGGACCGGCAUUGACGCUGAGGCGCGAAAGCCAGGGGAGCAAACGGG
rnacentral:rRNA from 1 species